rnacentral:rRNA from 1 species
UGGGGAAUUUUGGACAAUGGGGGAAACCCUGAUCCAGCCAUCCCGCGUGUGCGAUGAAGGCCUUCGGGUUGUAAAGCACUUUUGGCAGGAAAGAAACGUCGCGGGUUAAUACCCCGCGAAACUGACGGUACCUGCAGAAUAAGCACCGGCUAACUACGUGCCAGCAGCCGCGGUAAUACGUAGGGUGCAAGCGUUAAUCGGAAUUACUGGGCGUAAAGCGUGCGCAGGCGGUUCGGAAAGAAAGAUGUGAAAUCCCAGAGCUUAACUUUGGAACUGCAUUUUUAACUACCGGGCUAGAGUGUGUCAGAGGGAGGUGGAAUUCCGCGUGUAGCAGUGAAAUGCGUAGAUAUGCGGAGGAACACCGAUGGCGAAGGCAGCCUCCUGGGAUAACACUGACGCUCAUGCACGAAAGCGUGGGGAGCAAACAGGAUUAGAUACCCUGGUAGUCCACGCCCUAAACGAUGUCAACUAGCUGUUGGGGGCCUUCGGGCCUUGGUAGCGCAGCUAACGCGUGAAGUUGACCGCCUGGGGAGU